rnacentral:misc_RNA from 1 species
GAUGAAGAACGCAGCGAAAGGCGAUACGUAAUGUGAAUUGCAGAAUUCAGUGAAUCAUCGAAUCUUUGAACGCAUAUUGCGCUCUCUGGUAUUCCGGAGAGCAUGCUUGUUUGAGUAUCAGUAAACACCUCAACUUCCAUAUCUUUUUUGAAAUGGGAGUUGGACUUGAGUGAUCCCAACGCUUUUCCUCACCGAAAAGUGGCGGGUUACUUGAAAUGCAGGUGCAGCUGGACUUUUCUCUGAGCUAUAAGCAUAUCUAUUUAGUCUGCCUAAAAAACAGAUUAUUACCUUUGCUGCAGCUAACAUAAAGGAGAUUAGUUCUUGUGCUGACUGAUGCAGGAUUCACAAAGACGGCUUCGGCCGACUUUGUAAACUCGAUCUCAAAUCAAGUAAGACUACCCGCUGAACUUAAGCAUAUCAAUAAGCGGAGGA